rnacentral:rRNA from 1 species
GUCGAGAGGGUUCGGCCCUCGGCGUACUGCUCAGUAACACGUGGAUAACCUGCCCUAAGGAAGGGGAUAACCCCGGGAAACUGGGGAUAAUACCCUAUAGGUUACAGAUGCUGGAAUGCUCUGUAACCGAAAGUUCCGGCGCCUUAGGAUGGAUCUGCGGCCGAUUAGGUUGUUGUUGGGGUAACAGCCCAACAAGCCAGUAAUCGGUACGGGUUGUGGGAGCAAGAGCCCGGAGUUGGAUUCUGAGACACGAAUCCAGGCCCUACGGGGCGCAGCAGGCGCGAAAACUUUACAAUGCGGGCAACCGUGAUAAGGGAACCUCGAGUGCCUGUAUAUGCAGGCUGUCUGGGUGUCUAAAACACACCUAAAGAAAGGGCCGGGCAAGACCGGUGCCAGCCGCCGCGGUAAUACCGGCGGCUCGAGUGGUGGCCACUUUUAUUGGGCUUAAAGCGUUCGUAGCUGGGUUGUUAAGUCCCUUGGGAAAUCCGACAGCUUAACUGUCGGGCGUCUAAGGGAUACUGGCAAUCUUGGAACCGGGAGAGGUGAGGGGUACUUCGGGGGUAGGAGUGAAAUCCUGUAAUCCUCGAGGGACCACCUGUGGCGAAGGCGCCUCACCAGAACGGCUUCGACAGUGAGGGACGAAAGCUGGGGGAGCAAACCGGAUUAGAUACCCGGGUAGUCCCAGCCGUAAACGAUGUGCGUUAGGUGUAUCGGUGACCACGAGUCACCGAGGUGCCGAAGGGAAACCGUGAAACGUACCGCCUGGGAAGUACGGUCGCAAGGCUGAAACUUAAAGGAAUUGGCGGG